CUAGACUUUGGCUGUCACUCUAGCUAAGAAGCCGAAUCUCAUUCAGUACAUUUAGUUUUAUAAGUCAUGAAGCCAAACCUUUAAUGGGUUGUAUUUAGAGGCACAAAGUCUGGAAUAUGUGUGUAUUCACAGUAGUGUAUAUUUUGUGCCUUGAAUCACUUUGAAAAGUAUCUCAGAAAACCUGGACAGCUAGUCCCCUUUUAUCUUCACAAGAAUUUUAUAUGUAUUUAUGAAAAUGAUUCUGUAUUCUAGUAAAUCUUCUUGGGCAUG